UAAGCGGAGGAAAAGAAACUAACAAGGAUUCCCCUAGUAACGGCGAGUGAAGCGGGAAGAGCUCAACUUUGUAAUCUGGCUGCUUCGCAGUCCGAGUUGUAGUCUAUAGAAGCAUGAUCCGCGCCGGACCUUGGCCAUGUCUGUUGGAAAGCAGUGUCAAAGAGGGUGAUAAUCCCGUACAUACCAAGGACGACCGUGUGCAUUGUGGUCUGCUCUCUAAGAGUCGAGUUGUUUGGGAAUGCAGCUCUAAUUGGGUGGUAAAUUCCAUCUAAAGCUAAAUAUUGGCGAGAGACCGAUAGCGAACAAGUACAGUAAUGGAAAGAUGAAAAGUAGCCUGCAGAGGCAAUGAAACAAUACGUGAAACCGUUUGUAGGGAAACGAUGGAACCUUUUCACGCUGCAAGGGCUCAACCUGGCUUCGGCCUGGUGCAUUCCCUUGUUUUGCGGGCCAGCAUCAGUUUGCUUUGCGGUAUAAGGGUGAUUGGAACGUGGCUCCCUCGGGAGUGUUAUAGCCUUUCACUGGAUGCCGCGUCGCAGACUGAGGACUGCAGUGCGCCUUUUGGCAUUGCCCCCGGGCAACGAGCACUUAGGAUGCUGGUAGAAUGGGUUUCAACGACCCGUCUUGAAACACG
rnacentral:rRNA from 1 species